rnacentral:rRNA from 1 species
UACGUAGGGGGCAAGCGUUGGUCCGGAAUCAUUGGGCGUAAAGAGCGUGUAGGCGGCCUGGUAAGUCCGCUGUGAAAGUCCAGGGCUCAACCCUGGAAUGCCGGUGGAAACUGUCAGGCUCGAGUCCGGAAGAGGCGAGUGGAAUUCCUGGUGUAGCGGUGAAAUGCGCAGAUAAUCAGGAGGAACACCAAUGGCGAAGGCAGCUCGCUGGGACGGUACUGACGCUGAGACGCGAAAGCGUGGGGAGCAAACAGGAUAGAUACCC